GAUGAACGCUAGCUACAGGCUUAACACAUGCAAGUCGAGGGGAAACGACAUCGAAAGCUUGCUUUUGAUGGGCGUCGACCGGCGCACGGGUGAGUAACGCGUAUCCAACCUGCCCACCACUUGGGGAUAACCUUGCGAAAGUAAGACUAAUACCCAAUGAUAUCUCUAGAAGACAUCUGAAAGAGAUUAAAGAUUUAUCGGUGAUGGAUGGGGAUGCGUCUGAUUAGCUUGUUGGCGGGGUAACGGCCCACCAAGGCAACGAUCAGUAGGGGUUCUGAGAGGAAGGUCCCCCACAUUGGAACUGAGACACGGUCCAAACUCCUACGGGAGGCAGCAGUGAGGAAUAUUGGUCAAUGGACGAGAGUCUGAACCAGCCAAGUAGCGUGCAGGAUGACGGCCCUAUGGGUUGUAAACUGCUUUUAUAAGGGAAUAAAGUUAGUCUCGUGAGACUUUUUGCAUGUACCUUAUGAAUAAGGACCGGCUAAUUCCGUG
rnacentral:rRNA from 1 species